rnacentral:rRNA from 1 species
GACAGAGGGUGCAAACGUUGUUCGGAAUUACUGGGCGUAAAGCGCGUGUAGGCGGCUGGGCAAGUCGGAUGUGAAAGCCCUGGGCUCAACCGAGGAAGUGCAUUCGAAACUGCCGAGCUGGAGUUCUGGAGAGGAAGGCGGAAUUCUCGGUGUAGAGGUGAAAUUCGUAGAUAUCGAGAGGAACACCGGUGGCGAAGGCGGCCUUCUGGACAGAAACUGACGCUGAGACGCGAAAGCGUGGGUAGCGAACAGG